UCUCUCGGCUUCUUGCGAUACCGCCUUUGGUAUAAAAGAAGACUGCCAGCCACCCGUCCUUUCACUUGGCAUUGGUGACGACACUGUGUGGCGCUCAACUAAAGGUUACUGCUUGUUUUACCACAGUUGAAAAGAGUCAUUAGGGUGCCGAAUGAAAGCCAAUGUGAGCACCAUUCUCCAGGACUAGGCAUGCUGGACCGUGGAUUCACCUGCAAGUUCUUUCGCCUCCUUGGACGGCAAACAUGGCGCACCAGGCCAAGCUCCGGUAUAAAAGGUUACCACCACUCAGAGUAGCCAGCACCAAGGUCGUGAUGUCUCCGAACGCCACCCAAUGGCGACAGGAUGCACCGGCAGCCUCGCUCAGCAUCGCAACAGUGUCGGGCGUCUGCGGCUGCACCUGGUACCACCUAUCACGGCAGAAGAUGAGUGGGUCCUCCAUGUGGCUGUGACUGCCACGUGUUGCUGUGUUGUUUAAGCUGUGCAGAUGGCCGCGCGGUCGUCGCUGCCUCUUUGACCAGUGGCGUUUACAAGAGACUACCUUCGCUGGUAUUGCGGCCUGACUAGAUGACUGCAGGCAAGGUGCGGGCACGGGGCCGUCAAAAUACUCGUGUUCUACGCCAAGGCUGCCCGAGUACGGUGCUUACAAGCGCUGCCGGCUAGUCUCCUGACCUCUUGCGCUGGCUCUGACGGCGAACCAGUGGAACACUUAGUCUCCAUUGUUCGGAGCAGUUGCGGCUUUAUCGUGGACGGGCCGCUCUUGCUACCACUGGCAGUGAUUCGAUGGCUAGCGUUCAGUAUUCGUGCGUUAUGUUCAUGUGAAUUCAAAUUUUCUG